rnacentral:rRNA from 1 species
CCUACGGGAGGCAGCAGUGGGGAAUAUUGGACAAUGGGGGCAACCCUGAUCCAGCCAUGCCGCGUGUGUGAAGAAGGCCCUCGGGUUGUAAAGCACUUUCAGUGAGGAAGAACGCCUGGUGGUUAAUACCCAUCAGGAAAGACAUCACUCACAGAAGAAGCACCGGCCAACUCCGUGCCAGCAGCCGCGGUAAUACGGAGGGUGCGAGCGUUAAUCGGAAUUACUGGGCGUAAAGCGCGCGUAGGUGGCUUGAUAAGCCGGUUGUGAAAGCCCCGGGCUCAACCUGGGAACGGCAUCCGGAGCUGUCAAGCUAGAGUGCAGGAGAGGAAGGUAGAAUUCCCGGUGUAGCGGUGAAAUGCGUAGAGAUCGGGAGGAAUACCAGUGGCGAAGGCGGCCUUCUGGACUGACACUGACACUGAGGUGCGAAAGCGUGGGUAGCAAACAGGAUUAGAUACCCCUGUAGUC